AACGAACGCUGGCGGCAUGCCUAACACAUGCAAGUCGAACGAGACCUUCGGGUCUAGUGGCGCACGGGUGCGUAACCCGUGGGAACCUGCCCUUAGGUUCGGAAUAACUCCCCGAAAGGGGUGCUAAUACCGGAUAAUGUCUUCGGACCAAAGAUUUAUCGCCUUUGGAUGGGCCCGCGUUGGAUUAGCUAGUUGGUAGGGUAAAAGCCUACCAAGGCGACGAUCCAUAGCUGGUCUGAGAGGAUGAUCAGCCACACUGGGACUGAGACACGGCCCAGACUCCUACGGGAGGCAGCAGUGGGGAAUAUUGGACAAUGGGCGAAAGCCUGAUCCAGCAAUGCCGCGUGAGUGAUGAAGGCCUUAGGGUUGUAAAGCUCUUUUACCCGGGAUGAUAAUGACAGUACCGGGAGAAUAAGCUCCGGCUAACUCCGUG
rnacentral:rRNA from 1 species